AGACGUAAAUAUGCUGCCAGAAUCACGAGGCAGUGAGCACCGAUGGGAAAAUCAAGUCAUAUUUUUGGGAAGAGGUCGAUGACGCGAAGCCUCAGCAAAUUGCAGUUUGCGCAGUUUUUUUUUUGUUUGUAAAACUAAAUUUUAAAGUUGUUUGUGUUGGUUUUCUUAGUUUAAAAAUAUUUAAAAGUACUCAAAAAGUUUUGGCUGCUUUAUAUACCUACAAUAGAUAUAGAGAGUGAGAUGACAUAGUUAUUUGAAAUAGAGCAUAGGUACACGUAUAUCAUCCACAGUUAAAUAUUUAACCAGCCUCAGUCAUCCAACUUAAGUUACAUAAAAAUGACAUAGACAUUUCAGCAUUGAAAUUGGAUAUUUUUUUCGUGUCAUGUCAGACAACAGUCCGACUCAAAAUCAACCAGCUCCGUCUCAAGGAACCGGCAGCCGGCUAGGACAAAUAAUAACAAUAGCCUUGAUUGGCAUUGCAGCUUUCGGGGUGUACCGUUUGUAUGAAGAGCGUCAGAAGAGGAACAAGGGCGGUGGUGGCGGUGGUCCCUGCGGCGGCGGAGGGGGAGGCGGCGGAGGGGGAGGCUGCGGACUGAGCGGGCAGGCCCUGGGAAGCGGACUGGUUAGGAUGUUCCGCUCCCCAGUUGCCAGCCGCCUGCUGGGCAGCUCCUUCACACCAGCGGAAGACGUCGAUUGAGCUUCUGGUCUGCCCUGAGAUGGCCACUUGCUCAGCAUCGGUCCGAGUUCGGCUGACCGUCAGCUUGGUUUUGCCUGCUAGUUUAUAACCGACUACUCAGGUAUGCGGUUUUCAUUUAUCUUUCUAACAACCUCACUCGAACCACAGCAAACCAUGAAGUCAGCAAAACCACAAGAGACGGAUACACUACGCUGCCAAUUUGAGCAUCUUCACGACAAUGCCACACUUGGCGGCAAUCAAAGCCUGUCAAUUUGGAUCGGAUUGAACGUCAAUAAUCCCAUCGAUUCGCCGCCAAGUUAGUGGAGCUCAGAUGGAUGCUUCGAACAGGAUCCUCUCGCAGUUAAGUUGAUACCAUAUCGCGCUGGUGUUCGAUUGACGUUUGUGAUUUGAACACUGUGUAAAUGACCUAUAAUUGUUGAAAAUUAGCGUUUCGUCUGUACAAUUGAUGCCCAUGCUACUAUUUGGACAUGGCUCCGAUGCCCACUGAAAACGUUGGGUGCGCGAUGCUUUGCCUUUACUCCAUCCUGAGGCUGGUAACGCUCCGGGGCUUAUUCUUUUCCCUAUAGCACGGGAUUUGCUCCUGUAAGCACGUCAGUUUCUUCCAACCAAUAUGUACCAGUAAUAGCCAAUAAAUCUUCACGCGUAUCUUCUA